rnacentral:misc_RNA from 1 species
GAUGAAGAACGUAGCGAAAUGCGAUAAGUAAUGUGAAUUGCAGAAUUCAGUGAAUCAUCGAAUCUUUGAACGCACAUUGCGCCCGCUGGUAUUCCGGCGGGCAUGCCUGUUCGAGCGUCAUUUCAACCCUCAAGCUCUCCGGAGUUUGGUGUUGGGGCGCCUGGGGCUUUUCGACCUCAGGGCCCUCAAGUUCAUCGGCGGGACCGCCAGGACACUGAGCGCAGUAGUAUUAUUUCGCUCGGUAGGAUCUUCCACGGCGGGUCGAUCUGGCCGCUAAACCCCCCAAUUCUCACCAAAGGUUGACCUCGGAUCAGGUAGGAAUACCCGCUGAACUUAAGCAUAUCAAUAAGCGGAGGA